GACGAACGCUGGCGGCGUGCUUAACACAUGCAAGUCGAACGGAAAGUCCCUGCUCUUGUGGGGUGCUCGAGUGGCGAACGGGUGAGUAACACGUGAGUAACCUGCCCUUGACUUUGGGAUAACUUCAGGAAACUGGGGCUAAUACCGGAUAGGAGCUCCUGCUGCAUGGAGGGGGUUGGAAAGUUUCGGCGGUUGGGGAUGGACUCGCGGCUUAUCAGCUUGCUGGUGGGGUAGUGGCUUACCAAGGCUUUGACGGGUAGCCAGCCUGAGCGGGUGACCGGCCACAUUGGGACUGAGCUACGGCCCAGACUCCAUCGGGAGGCAGCAGUGCAGAAUAUUGCACAAUAGCCCGAAGCCUGAUACAGCAACGCCGCGUGCGGGAUGACGGCCUUCGGGUUGUAAACCGCUUUCGCCUGUGACGAAGCGUGAGUGACGGUAAUGGGUAAAGAAGCACCGGCUAACUACGUG
rnacentral:rRNA from 1 species